rnacentral:lncRNA from 1 species
UAUAUUACUAAUGUAUCACAAUAUGCAUAAAACGGAACAAAUCUUUCAGAACUUUUAAAUUUAAUUCCUUACCCCAUGGAUUAAAUUAAAAUAAGAUAAGAUAAAACACUAUGCUUUCUCUUUUUUUUACCCGUUCCGUCCCUUUAUAAACCAUUGUUUGCUUCCCAAAUUCCCAUCAUUAACAAAGUAUCUGAUCUUCUUAAUAUUUUCUCUGGACUCAUAUAUAUAUAUAGUCAUCACAAGGCUCUUAUUCUUUCCUAUCAAUCUAUCGUUACACCAAUGGCCAUGCGAAAGAUUUAUGCAUCUCUCCCUGCUGUAGCUGCCGGAGUUGGAUUCUUCUUCUAUAAUGCGAAGGUAAGAAAAAGAUAUCUAUUAUUUAUAUUCAUAUAAAAUGUUAUAUAAUUCCAAAAAGUAACAUCAAAGUUUCUAUGAACGCAGGAACAUGCAAGAAGAAUUUCAGCAUCUAAUCAAGAAACAAUAUCUACAACAAGAGUAGUGGAAGAACAAACCAAGGCCAGUAGGAAACCAAGUGUGGCACCACAGUUUGAUGGUUUGCAUUGUUUUGAAACAUUUGUUAUGAAUUAAAU